GGAGAACUCUAGGCACCAGAUGGGGUCGCUCAACUGUCGCUCGGUGAUUCCAAAUAAAAUUCACCCCAAGUUCUGCGACGUAGGGAAUGAUUCCAAAGAGAACUCCUAAAAUCCAUCGCUCAAUGAUUCCAAAGAGAAUUCACCUUAACUUCCUCAACCCAGGGAAUGAUUUCAAAGAGAACUCCUAGAGUCUGCCGCUCGGUCAUUCCAAAGAGAAUUCACCUCAACUUCCUCGACCUAGGGAAUGGUUCCAAAAAGAACUCUUAGAGUUUGCCACUUGAUGAUUCCAAAGGGAAUUCACCUCAACCUCAUCGACCUAGGGAAUGAUUCCAAAGUGAACUCCUAGAAUCCGCC
rnacentral:lncRNA from 1 species